UGGAACUGGUACGAGUGUGUAAAGAUCUGAGGACCAUGUGGAUGCUUCUUUUUUCCCCCAAAGGAACUAACUGCUCAGCGCUGCAGCGAGCUUGAGUGAGGAACGAGAAAGGCGUUUCCAGCAAGGGAAGCACCUUGGCCAGUGCAGAAGCUGAGGCUCCCCUGCCUGGUGUUUCGGAAGCUUUGAGAGGUACAAGUAACUUGCAUUUAUCUUCUGCCUUCAAGUUUUCAAAGUUCAUGCCUGACCCUCAUUUUCUUUUUUUUUUUUUAAGAUUUAUUUUUUAAUUUAAUUCCCUUCCCCCAUUGUCUGUUCUCUGUGUCUAUUUGCGGCGUCUUGUUUCUUUGUCCGCUUCUGUUGUCGUCAGCGGCACGGGAAGUGUGGGCGGCGCCAUUCCUGCACAGGCUGCACUUUUUUCGCGCUGGGCGGCUCUCCUUACGGGGCGCACUCCUUGCGCAUGGGGCUUCCCUACGCGGGGGACACCCCUGCGUGGCAGGGCACUCCUUGCGCGCAUCAGCGCUGCACAUGGGCCAGCUCCACACGGGUCAAGGAGGUCCGGGGUUUGAACCUCGGACCUCCCAUGUGGUAGACGGACGCCCUAACCACUGGGCCAAGUCCAUUUCCCUGACCUUCAUUUUCUUUCUCCCCAUCCCCUGCCGUUAAUGAGUGGCAGCCGUUUAGCUUGUCGAGAGGAAGGACAAGGGAGGGGACCGGCCCCAGGUCACCCCAUAGAGGAGUUGGGGGACACUGGGGUUCACUCUCUAAUAAGCGAGCCCAGGAUGCUGGCUUCCCCUCGCCCCUUCCAGGGUCUAGCCAGUCCCGCGCUUUCCUCUGAAGCCGAGAUGUGGUGCUGCCUUCUCUGCUUGCUUCAGGGAGCGAUUUUAACAGCCCAUGCUGGCUGCGGGGACCCGAGAAGGGAGGCUGUAGAACGCCGUGGAAAGAGCUCAAGCUUUGGUGAUCGGCAGCGCUCGCUUUGACUCCCCGUCCUCAGUUUCCCUCUCCGCAAAACGAAGAGCGUCGUCGCUAUCCUGUGGCGUUGCCGCAGGCCUGGAGGCAAGGCGCACAGUAGUGGCUGUGUAAAGUUUUACCGCUCUGUUUUGGGGGCAAAUGCGAUUUUUAUCUUGCUGUGUAGUACCCAAUAAACCCUUCCCCUAAAAGGAGAAACAAAGAGCACCUGUUCACACCAGGCGGGGAACAUAAGCAUUAUUAUCCCCAGCGCGUGGAUGGGAAACGCAAACGCCAUGUGGGGCCCACGCCCUCUCGAGUAG
rnacentral:lncRNA from 1 species